rnacentral:lncRNA from 1 species
CGGCUCAAGAUCUCCAACUCCAAAGUGACCAAAGCUGUGCUCUGCCCUGCAGCUCCUCAGCAUUACACCUCCGUUCUGCUCCAGGGGCCUGGGGAGGGAAAAAUCAUUUGAAACUAAGAAGAUGUGCUGUUUGCUUUGGGUAAUUACAAGCGAGCUUUGGAUUCUUCAAGCAAUGAAAAGUGUGCAAUGGGAGUGGGUCCUAUCCGGGUGUGGUGGUGAUGGGUUGGUGAUUGGACUGGAUGAUCUUAGUGGCCUUUCCAACCUUUACGAUCUCCAGCACCGCUCCCUCCAUCCCACGCCCGCCCCGUGCACCUGGGCACGUGGUUGCAUUUCCUAUAGAGGAACUUCAUGGCGCUUUGGGCUCAGUGAGAGGAGAAUGCUGCUGACAUUUUCUUAUCUCAAGUUACAAUUUCCUGUGAGCAUCACAGUGAUAAAACAUGGGAGAUGUGCAGCUCGCGUGGAGAGAGUGCAUCGUGCACGGCACCGGGGGGCAGAGGAUGCCCGCGGGAUGCGGCUCUCGGUGCCGUCAUUGUUGUCCCCCCGCCUGUCUGCAGGGAAUUUUAUGGGGAGGGCUUUUGGCGGGGCGAGGAGGAGGAGGAGGAGGGGAGCUUUCCCCCAAAGCACCCAGGAAUCUGUCAAAAGAGGGACAGAAAAGAGAAGAAGAAGAAGAAGGGAGACAGAGAGUGGGAACGUCAAGGACCCCUGACUAAUGAAUAGCAAGUUUGCCCUUGAACCUCCCUGGGCUUUGCCAUUCCCAGGCUCCAAACAAGGGCUGAUGCAUGCUUGGGCCCAGCUGCAGGGGGACCGGGCUAUGGUUCAUCUCAGACACUUUGACAGCCCGGGCCUUUUCCCCGCAUAGCUCAGACUCGCCUAACUACUCCCCUGGCAACAGCUCAGUGCAGGAACCUGCGCGGAGGCCCUGCCUGCUGCAUACAGAAGCAUGAAAGACGCGGGGAGCGCCAGCCGUAGGGGUCUGCACUGAAUGGAUGGAGCAAACAGGCACUGCAGACGGCUGCAAACACCCGACGGCUCCAAAGCACGACCCAGGAACGUUCCCAC